UCCUACACACAUGGUUGCAGUUUGAGAAAUCCUCUGGAUACAACUGUGGGUCCUAUGUGGGAGUUCCAGUGCUUAUAGCAAUUAUUGACUCUGUUUCUGGAUAUACCAGUUGAUACACUAUUGUACUUUUAAAAUAGGCAUUUUAACCGAGUGUACCGAACUAAUCCAUAUGUUCAGGUUGAUCAUAAUACUCUUUAUGCAGAAUUACAGAGUUUAUAGGUGUUUCAACACAAACAUUUUUUGGUAGGUACCUAUUGAUUUACUUCUCUAAACUACUAUAAUUUUUUUAAAAGAAAACCGUUAAAUGGUAUUUUCUUUUCCCCCAAACAAGUUACCCCUGAUGAAGUCAAACUGACGAAACGCGUUGGGUUUAUCAGUCAUUAGUCAGUAUUCCAGAUAGGAAAAUUACUCCCUUUGCCAAGCGCACACCUUGCUAAGGUGAGGGAGUUUAUACAUCUACCUACUGGAUGUCUCUGUUGUCAGAGUUACUAAAAUCUAUGUACAACCUGUUGUAAAAUUCUCAUGC